rnacentral:rRNA from 1 species
CCUACGGGGUGCUGCAGUGGGGAAUAUUGCACAAUGGGGGAAACCCUGAUGCAGCGACGUCGCGUGAGUGAUGAAGUAUUUCGGUAUGUAAAGCUCUAUCAGCAGGGAAGAAAAUGACGGUACCUGACUAAGAAGCCCCGGCUAACUACGUGCCAGCAGCCGCGGUAAUACGUAGGGGGCAAGCGUUAUCCGGAUUUACUGGGUGUAAAGGGAGCGUAGACGGCGGUGCAAGCCAGAUGUGAAAGCCCGGGGCUCAACCCCGGGACUGCAUUUGGAACUGUGCUGCUAGAGUGUCGGAGAGGUAGGCGGAAUGCGUAGUGUAGCGGUGAAAUGCGUAGAUAUUAGGAGGAACACCAGUGGCGAAGGCGGCCUGCUGGACGAUGACUGACGUUGAGGCUCGAAAGCGUGGGGAGCGAACAGGAUUAGAUACCCGUGUAGUC